rnacentral:rRNA from 1 species
GAUGAACGCUAGCUACAGGCUUAACACAUGCAAGUCGAGGGGUAACAAGGGGAAAGCUUGCUUUCCUUGUUGACGACCGGCGCACGGGUGAGUAACGCGUAUCCAACCUGCCUAUAACUAGGGAAUAACCUUCCGGAAGUAAGACUAAUAACCUAUGAUUUCCUUUGAUGACACUAGAUUAGGAAUAAAGAUUUAUCGGUUAUAGAUGGGGAUGCGUCUAAUUAGCUUGUUGGGCGGGUAACGGCCCACGAAGGCAACGAUCAGUAGGGGUUCUGAGAGGAAGGUCCCCCACAUUGGAACUGAGACACGGUCCAAACUCCUACGGGAGGCAGCAGUGAGGAAUAUUGGUCAAUGGGCGGAAGCCUGAACCAGCCAAUAGCGAGCAGGAUGACGGCCCUAUGGGUUGUAAACUGCUUUUAUACAGGAAUAAAGUUAGCCACGUGUGGUUAUUUGUAGGUACUGUAUGAAUAAGGACCGGCUAAUUCCGUGCCAGCCGCCGCCGUAA